rnacentral:rRNA from 1 species
AUACGGAGGAUCCGAGCGUUAUCCGGAUUUAUUGGGUUUAAAGGGAGCGUAGGUGGAUUGUUAAGUCAGUUGUGAAAGUUUGCGGCUCAACCGUAAAAUUGCAGUUGAAACUGGCAGUCUUGAGUACAGUAGAGGUGGGCGGAAUUCGUGGUGUAGCGGUGAAAUGCUUAGAUAUCACGAAGAACUCCGAUUGCGAAGGCAGCUCACUAGACUGCAACUGACACUGAUGCUCGAAAGUGUGGGUAUCAAACAGGAUUAGAUACCCUGGUAGUCCACACAGUAAACGAUGAAUACUCGCUGUUUGCGAUAUACAGUAAGCGGCCAAGCGUAAGCAUUAAAUAUUCCACCUGGGGAGUACGCCGGCAACGGUGAAACUCAAAUGAAUUGACGGGG